rnacentral:rRNA from 1 species
AUUGAACGCUGGCGGCAUGCCUUACACAUGCAAGUCGAACGGCAGCACGGGAGCAAUCCUGGUGGCGAGUGGCGAACGGGUGAGUAAAGUAUCGGAACGUGCCCAGUCGUGGGGGAUAACGUAGCGAAAGUUACGCUAAUACCGCAUACGAUCUAUGGAUGAAAGCGGGGGAUCGCAAGACCUCGCGCGAUUGGAGCGGCCGAUAUCAGGUUAGGUAGUUGGUGGGGUAAAGGCUCACCAAGCCGACGAUCUGUAGCUAGACUGAGAGGACGACCAGCCACGCUGGGACUGAGACACGGCCCAGACUCCUACGGGAGGCAGCAGUGGGGAAUUUUGGACAAUGGGCGAAAGCCUGAUCCAGCCAUGCCGCGUGCAGGAUGAAGGCCUUCGGGUUGUAAACUGCUUUUGUACGGAACGAAAAGGUUUGGCCUAAUAAGCUGAGCUCAUGACGGUACCGUAAGAAUAAGCACCGGCUAACUACGUGCCAGCAGCCGCGGUAA